rnacentral:guide_RNA from 1 species
AUAAACGAUCAAGUGUAUUGCUUAUAAGAUAGAGAUGGUAAUUAUAAUAUAC